rnacentral:rRNA from 1 species
UACGGAAGGGGCGAGCGUUGUCCGGAAUCAUUGGGCGUAAAGGGCGCGUAGGUGGUUCUGUAUGUCUGCCGUGAAAGGGUACAGCUUAACUGUAGCUUGUCGGUAGAAACUGCAGGACUUGAGGCUGGGAGGGGCUGGUGGAAUUCCCUGUGUAGCGGUGAAAUGCGUAGAGAUGGGGGAGAACACUCGUGGCGAAGGCGGCCAGCUAGACCAGUUCUGACACUGAGGCGCGACAGCGUGGGGAGCAAACAGG